rnacentral:rRNA from 1 species
AUAUCAAUAAGCGGAGGAAAAGAAACCAACAGGGAUUGCCUCAGUAACGGCGAGUGAAGCGGCAACAGCUCAAAUUUGAAAUCUGGAGCCUUCGGCUUCCGAGUUGUAAUUUGAAGAGGAUGUUUCGGUUGUGGCCUGGGCCUAAGUUCCUUGGAACAGGACGUCAUGGAGGGUGAGAAUCCCGUACACGGCUGCAGGCUUACUUCCAUGUGAAACUCCUUCGAAGAGUCGAGUUGUUUGGGAAUGCAGCUCAAAAUGGGUGGUAAAUUUCAUCUAAAGCUAAAUAUUGGCGGGAGACCGAUAGCGCACAAGUAGAGUGAUCGAAAGAUGAAAAGCACUUUGAAAAGAGAGUUAAACAGCACGUGAAAUUGUUGAAAGGGAAGCGCUUGCGAUCAGACUCGCUCUCGGUUGAUCAACGUUCCUUCUGGUGCGUGCACUCUGCCGUUGGCGGGCCAGCAUCGGUUGGGGCGGCGGGACAAAGGCAGCGGGAAUGUGGCUCCUCUCGGGGAGUGUUAUAGCCCGUUGUGUAAUGCCGCCAGCCCCGACCGAGGUCCGCGGUUCUGCCUAGGAUGCUGGCUUAAUGGUCGUAAGCGA